ensembl:lncRNA
CAAACAUCAUAAAAAAUAUCAAUAAAAAAUGAUAUGCAUUUGUCAUUUAAAUAGCUGCUUACAGAUCAAUAACAUAAACAACAUUUUAUUAACUUGUAAUUAAGAUAGUGAUGUUUGGGGGGCGGCUACCAGUAAAACCAGUAAGUUCAGUCCAGAGUUGACAAAGCUAGCACUCCUUUCAAUCAGCCCUACCUAUGUGUUAAGUUUGUACUCACCAGAUGCCUUUCAUUAAACUAUAAAUAAUAAUAAAAAAAUAAACUAUUUCUACAAUGAUUCUUGUAGUGAAGUGAUUUACAAAUAUAAACAAAACAUUUAUAAAUAUCUGUUAGCAGGAAAAAUCAGAAGCGCUUCUGCUCUUUCCAUUCUCACACAUUUAUUUACUUUUCCUGGGAGAGACUGACAUCAAGUCCUUUGUUGCUUAAUUGCCCAUCAAUUCUCCAGGCUUCACUGGCUUCGCUUUACAUGCUGCUCAACCUGUUCUUCCAAUCCCCAACCAGAGGGUGGAAAGAGUGAGAAACAUGAGAAACGCAAAGUUGCUCUGUCUGAUAUAGGAAGCCGUCUGUUAAGCUGGUUACUGAACAGGGAAACAUUGGUUUUUAUGUGGACUGUGGAAGAUAAGACACACAAGACACAAGGGAACCAAGGCUAAACCAAGAUGCAAACUUACUGGACCUUGUCCUUUGUAUCCACCUUACUGUCCAUGACGCUGCUCGUGGUCACUAUGGGCCAAUAUCAAACACUGACCACUCUAACCACGGCACUUGAAAAAAUGGAAAAACAGUCAGACGAUCGUUUUAAUGAUUUUUCGAGAGAAGAACUCUUGUCAAUCAGACUGAGAAACCAGGUGAAUGCUAUGCACGGAUCGCUGAGGAAUCUGCAGACCUCACUGGCCAAUAUCACUGCAGAGAUGAUCAAGAAGAAUGAGGCAGACAAGGCCUGUUGGAACCUAAAGAAAAAACAAACCGAUCAGCUGGCCAGCCAAGAGAAGGAGCUCAGUAAGGUCAAAGGCACCAUUAAAGCAGAGUCUGAUGCCAGGGAGCAAGAAAUUAGGACUUUAAACGCACAGCUGCGUGCAAACAGUCCAAUAUGUGACUAUGUAAAGAGGAGCCUACAAUCUGACAAACUGUGCAUCGCCACCAAGGGGUGACGAUGAUGAUGGCGACCUGAUGAAAAUCCCAGCGCUACCUCAACUCCUCAGUGUCAUUAAUUAUACAGGUUGAUUAAUUAUACAGUGUAUAAUUCAGUACAUAUCAGAGUGUUUGUACAGAAAAUGUGAUGCUUUCACACAAAAUGAAGUGGACAGAGAUCUGUAAACAUUGUUUACUUUGUGUACCGCGUAUAAUGCUGACCUAUUAUUGUGGCCUGUUCACUAAACCAGUAUAAAGUAUGCACACUGACAGAAUGUUGGUGUGUAAAUGCAUUUACAUACUGAAGCUUUCUCGCCAAUCUGCCAUUUAUAUAAUCAGAUUUAUGCAUGUAGGAACCUAACAUGAACUUUGACCACGACCCCUCAGAACUCUGGCUCGGCCCCAGCUACAGACUUGACCCAGUAGCCCAGUGGCAGCUCCUCAAGCGUGUCUGUUUGUGUCCGAGUCGGUGAUCUAAAGGUGAACACGACACCCCACCCGUCACCUCAGACAGAAACAAUGGUGAAACGGGAUCCAGUGCGGAUGUUGGUGUGAUGAAUUACAGACUGGCACUCAUGACGUAGGUUAACGUGUUUAAAAGCAAUUUAAUUAAGACAAAUAUUAAAAGACUUGAAUUAUGGUUGGAGUUUUUAUUAAGUGAAAGAAGAGAAUUUGCAGAUUUUCUUUAUGAAUAGCAAAACAUUAUUAUAGGUUAUAUACUUUAGUUUUUGUUUCGCAUAAAGAAUCAGAAUCAGGUUUUCAGAUUCUUAUUAACUCAUCUUAAGUGUCCGGCUGCAUUUCUCGGUCCUAAAUGCAACAUUGCGCAUAAUAUUGGUUUGUAUCAUAUCAGAAACAUAAUUUUUGUGAUGGAGAACACAUCAAAUUAACCCUGAGCUGCUUUAGUUCACUCCUGCAAAAACAACAUUUAAAAAAUUGUAUUUGAUCAAACAUUAUUCCUCAUCAGCA